AAGAUUUUAUUUUAGGAGAAUAUUAAAUUGUAAAUUUGAAGGGAAAAAUCUUG
rnacentral:tRNA from 1 species